rnacentral:lncRNA from 1 species
GUCCUUAAAAUGACAGCCUCCUCUCCUGGAACUGGUCUCUACUCCGGGACAUCAACAAGGCCCUGACUGGAAAGCACAUAGAAAAAGGGCAGAUGGAGGCUGGGCACAGUGGCUCACGCCUGUAAUCCCAGAACUUUGGGAGGCUGAGGUGGGCAGAUCACCUGAGGUCGGGAGUUCGAGAUCAGCCUGACCAGCAUGGAGAAACCCCGUUUCUACUAAAAAUACAAAAUUAGCCGGGCAUGGUGGCACAUGCCUGUAAUCCCAGCCACUCAGAAGGCUGAGGCAGGAGAAUCGCUUGAACCCAGGAGGCAGAGGUUGC